CUUUUAUUGUUUAACUUUUACUUGCUUCAGUCAUUGGACUGUGGCCAAUUGCUUGGACUGGUAUUCCAUUUGUGAUAUGUUUUUGAAAUGGAAUGAAAGCAUGCCCUUUUU